UACGGAGGGUGCGAGCGUUGUCCGGAAUCACUGGGCGUAAAGGGCGCGUAGGCGGCAUGCCAAGCGUGUGGUGAAAGCCCGGGGCUCAACCCCGGGUCGGCCGUGCGGACUGGCGUGCUCGAGCACUGUAGGGGCGGGUGGAAUUCCGGGUGUAGCGGUGGAAUGCGUAGAGAUUGGGAAGAACACCAGUGGCGAAGGCGGCUAUCUGGACGGUUUCUGACGCUAAGACGCGAAAGCGUGGGGAGCAAACAGG
rnacentral:rRNA from 1 species